GACGAACGCUGGCGGCGUGCUUAACACAUGCAAGUCGAACGGAAAGGCCCCCAUCUUGGUGGGUGUGCUCGAGUGGCGAACGGGUGAGUAACACGUGUGUGAUCUGCCCUGUACUUCGGGAUAAUCUUGGGAAACUGGGUCUAAUACCGGAUAGGACCAUGGUUUAGGGUCUCGUGGUGGAAAGUUCAUCGUUUUGGUGCAGGAUGGGCUCGCGGCCUAUUGGCUUGUUGGUGGGGUAAUGGCCUACCAAGGCGUCGACGGGUAGCCGGCCGGAGAGGGUGGGCGGGAACAGUGGAACGGCGAUACGGCGCAGACUACUACGGGAGGCAGCAGUGGGGAGUAAUGAACGAUGAGUGUAAGACUAAUGCAGGAAGGCCGAGUGGGGAAUGACGGCCUUCGGAUUGUAGCCUCCUUUCGUUAGGGACGAAGCCACGGUUUUGGGGUGUGGUGACGGUAACUUGGUUAAGAAGCACCGGCUAACUACGUG
rnacentral:rRNA from 1 species